UACGUAGGUGGCAAGCGUUAUCCGGAUUUAUUGGGCGUAAAGCGGGUGCAGGCGGUUCGAUAAGUCUGAUGUGAAAGCCUUCGGCUCAACCGGAGAAUUGCAUCAGAAACUGUCGAGCUUGAGUACAGAAGAGGAGAGUGGAACUCCAUGUGUAGCGGUGAAAUGCGUAGAUAUAUGGAAGGACACCGGUGGCGAAGGCGGCUCUCUGGUCUGUUACUGACGCUGAGGCUCGAAAGCAUGGGUAGCGAACAGGAUUAGAUACCCUGGUAGUC
rnacentral:rRNA from 1 species